AGGAAGUUAAAAACAAUAUUUUAUUUUUGACAUACAACAAAACCUAAAACAAUUAUAUAAAUAAUCUAAAAUCUUUAGUUACAAUUAGUUGACAUAUAUAUAUAUAUAUAUAUUAUAAUGGUUUAUAUUUAAUGCACGCACAAAAAAAAUUAAAAUUUUUGAUAAGGGAUCAAUUAUAUUAAUAACAUAAAAUAUAGUCAUAAUUGUUUUAAAAUUACUAUUUAAUUUCACAAUUUAAUUAAAAUUCGCAACAUAAAUUACUACACAUGUACAUUCAAAUUGCCUAAAUAUAAAAUUACGACAUUAAUCAUUUCUUUUCAAGGAUUUAUAGUACAAAAUAAAGUAAGUAUAAUAAGGUUGAUUUAAAAAAAAAAAAAAAAAAUAUAUAUAUACAAUAAUUAGCUAUGUUAAUACAAUAAUUUUGUUCAGAUAUUCAAUUUCAAAUAAAGUUAUAUUUUUUCAAAAGUGCAUAAGUACUUUAGAAAUCAUUUAAAAGACCAAAUAAUUUAAGUUAGAUUUUUAAUCCAUUAAUUUUUCUAAGUGUUGCAUUAUAUGCAUAUAAUAUACAGUUUGUAACCUAUUAUACAUAAAGAUAGAACUCAGAAGUUGUUGCAUUUGCAUAUUUUUUUGUGGGCAAUUCGAUUUAAUACUAAAUAAUUAAAAAAUUAAUUUAAGCACAUAAAAACAAAAAUAUAAAAUUUUAUGAGCAUAUUUCUUAAUUUUAUCAUUUUUGAGAGCAUAUAUUUUGAUUGAUGGUAAUACAAUAUUUCAAAAUUUGUUGGUAAAACAAAACAUAAUAUAUUAUUUUGAUAGUUUUCAUUAGAUAUAUUGUUUUAUGCUUUAAAAUUCUGUUCUUAUUAAUAAAUAUUAACCUACUUCACUAAUUUACUACUACAUAAUAUAUAGGAAUAAUAUAUAAAAAAAAAAGCUGCAAAUACAAUAAUGUUCUAUAGAUUUUUUUUGAAAUAAUCCAAUGACUACCAUUGAUUAUAUAAAUAGAUCUACAAGCCACCCAAUAUUAUUAAUACAAAUCAAAAUUUACUAAUAUCUAUUCGUGGUGGGAAAAAGUAAAAAUAUAUUUAAAAUCUGAGAUUUUGAAACUUUGGUUUUGCAUUUUUUUUGAUAUUUUUAUUCAAUUAAAAAACUAAUUAUAAUUAUACAUUUAUUUAGUAUAAAUAUAAUAUAGGAUUAAUAUUAUAUUAU